AUGUUGGAGAAGUUUGACAAAUAUUGGGAAGAAAAGAACAAUGCCAUGGUGAUCGCAACCAUCUUUGAUCCACGAUACAUAUGCUUGCUGUUUUUACUCCAAUGGUUGUUGUUUUUUUACUCAUAUGGUUGCUGUUUUUACUCCAAUGGUUGCUGUUUUUUUUUACUCAUAUGCUUGUUGUUUUUACUCGUAUGCUUUCUAAUUCACUCCAAUGCUAUCAUCUUUGAUCCUAGGUACAAGAUGGGUUACAUAGAGUGGGCCUUUGGAGAACUAUAUGGAGAAGGAAGUACAAGGUUUAGGACUGAGAUCAAAAUCGUGGAGGAAGAGUUGGCGGCCUUGUAUGACAAAUGUGUUGCUCAAGAUAAGCGAGCUGGAAAUGGAGAAAGUUCAUCUUCCUCUGCAAACAUUCCUAGUAUCCCGGUUCAAGCUGGGUACGAGUCCUUCUUAUCGUCCCGUUCAACAAGAAUAUCAAAGAGUGACUUGAGGAACUACUUAGAGGAUGAGGUUGCCCCUCGCAACAAGGCUCUUGAUCUUCUUGGUUGGUGGAAAGACAAUGCUCCUAGGUACCCAAUUAUGGCCAAGAUAGCCAGGAGGUUCCUUACUAUCCCGGCUACCUCCGUGUCUUCGGAAUCUACCUUCAGCACGACCGGAAGGAUUUUAGAUGACUAUAGGAGUUCGUUAAAACCAGUUAUGGUGGAGGCAUUAGUUUGUGGUGCAAGUUAUAUCAAGGGUGCUCACGUUGACUUGAAUCUGGUGCCGAGGGAUGAGAAUGAAGAGGAUGAUGUUGAGACCAUCAAGUUACCCAUUGUGGUGGAGGAGAUCAACGAUUGA
rnacentral:rRNA from 1 species